rnacentral:rRNA from 1 species
UACGGAGGGGGCUAGCGUUGUUCGGAAUUACUGGGCGUAAAGCGCACGUAGGCGGACUAUUAAGUCGAGGGUGAAAUCCCAGGGCUCAACCCUGGAACUGCCUUCGAUACUGGUAGUCUAGAGAUCGAGAGAGGCGAGUGGAAUUCCGAGUGUAGAGGUGAAAUUCGUAGAUGUUCGGAGGAACACCAGUGGCGAAGGCGGCUCGCUGGCUCGAUACUGACGCUGAGGUGCGAAAGCGUGGGGAGCAAACAGG